UCUGUUAGCAGAAGACUCUGCAAGUGCCAUAUUUUGCCAGUGUAUAUGUACUUUUUGCCCAAAUUUUUGAGGGAAAAUAAGGAUGCGCCUUAUACAUGGGUAGUACUAAUUCCGUAUCUAUAUAAAUGUUGGAAAAUGUUGAAACAGUUUUUGUACACUGCAAGCUUUAAGCUAAAAGUUAUUAAA